GGAAGGUGCAAGCGUUAAUCGGAAUUACUGGGGCGUAAAGCGCGCGUAGGCGGCUAGAUAAGUCGGGUGUGAAAGCCCUGGGGCUCAACCUGGGGAACUGCAUUCGAUACUGUCUAGCUAGAGUGUGGUAGAGGGAGGCGGAAUUCCGCAUGUAGCGGUGAAAUGCGUAGAGAUGCGGAGGAACACCAAUGGCGAAGGCAGCCUUCUGGACCAACACUGACGCUGAGGCGCGAAAGCGUGGGGAGCAAACAGGAUUAGAUACCCUGGUAGUCCACGCCGUAAACGAUGUCAACUAGCCGUUGGGAGCAUUUUGGCUCUUGGUGACGCAGCUAACGCGAUAAGUUGACCGCCUGGGGAGUACGGUCGCAAGAUUA
rnacentral:rRNA from 1 species